AAACUCUGGAAAGUAGCGGUUGCCGAAGAUUGGGGCGACCUCUCACCGACGGAGUAAGCCGACCAAUUAGCGGUGAAUCUCUCAGGUUCUCAGACAGAGGGGG
rnacentral:ncRNA from 1 species